AGGAAAGAGAAAAGCAUACUGAGACUCAGAGGAGCUGCGGUGCAGAAGUAAAGUACAGAGAUCCCAAACCCUGAACCACGCAGGACAUGGCUCACAUAUCUGGCACCUCAACAAGGGACAUCUGGAGUAGAAGAUAUCACCUAGAGCGAAAAACCAAGUUUCACCAGCAAGGUGGGGAAAAUUCACCGUAAAGGUGAUGAAAAUUCACUGCAAGCAAAGCCCACAGUCAGCUGCAGAAAUCAUGAUCUAAAAUUUCCCCAAGCCUGUGUGGAUUCCGGCAAGAAAUAUUAAACUUCAACAUAGAUCUGAGGGAGGAACUGGCCAGGUUAAUGAGGACCUUGCACCUGGAGCCAUGCCUUACAGCUGCAGACAAUCAACUACCCCAGCCGCAGACACCAGCAGCUUCGAACAAUCCAUUGAAGAUAAGGAGUGGGAGGAGGACGAGGAGGAGGAUGGCGAACAGCCCAGAGGUCACCUGGGGCAUGGUGAAGAAGACAGUCUAGAAAGCUGAGCAAAUUUGUGAGGAGACCAGAACCCCAAGAAUGCCUGGGAAUGUCUUUCUUGCUGUGCUUGCAGUAAUCAGCUGUGCGGUAAUAAUACCGGUGGCAAAUGGUCUGCAGAUGCAGAAUGAAGAGUUUUAAAAGGACUCGAAUCCUUCAGGCGGCAUUCACUUUUCAAAUUUUACUAAGAAAAAGAAAGAUGUAGGAAGCCACCCAUUGUCUUCACUAUCAGAGAAGUGUAAACAAGGAGCCCGGAACACUGGUGAACCUUGAGUCUUGGCAAGGGCCAGAGCUAUGCACCAAUUGUUUAGUCCAGACAAUGGUGGCUCAAGCAAUUUCCUGACCAAAUAGUCUCAGAGUAAAUCUUUCUAAUAUUUACUGACCUUUAAGAUAGUCUGUUACCACAAUUACCUGCCUGAAUAAGGGCUAGAUGUGUAUCCAAAAUUGAAUAAAAGGUUGGCAAGGCCUUGGCACGAGUGGAAGUCCUUCCCCUUGCAUUGGGCUUCCUGCCUGGCCCCCAAUAUUUCCAAAUUAUUAUUUCUUGUCUUGUCUCUGUCAUUUGCACGUG